GACAGAGGUCCCGAGCGUUAGGCGGAAUCACUGGGCUUAAAGCGUGUGUAGGCGGAGUGCUAAGUACCUUGUGAAAUCCCACGGCUCAACCGUGGAACUGCUUGGUAUACUGGUUCUCUUGAGCCACCUAGGGGCAACCGGAACAAACGGUGGAGCGGUGAAAUGCGUAGAUAUCGUUUGGAACGCCAAUGGUGAAAACAGCUGACUGGGAGUGUGCUGACGCUGAGACACGAAAGCUAGGGGAGCAAACGGG
rnacentral:rRNA from 1 species